rnacentral:misc_RNA from 1 species
UUUCCGUAGGUGAACCUGCGGAAGGAUCAUUAUCGUACAAAAUGUGAGGGGCACGCGAGGGCUGUCGCUGACCCAAAAGUCGUGCACGCCCGAGUGCCCUCACACACAUCCAUCUCACCCCUAUGUGCACCACCGCGUGGGUCCCCCUUUGGCUUGUUCGGAGGGGGGCUUACGUUUUCACACAAACUUUGUAUGCAGUGUAGAAUGUAUUUUUUGUUUUUGCGAUCACGCAAUCAAUACAACUUUCAACAACGGAUCUCUUGGCUCUC